rnacentral:rRNA from 1 species
UACGAAGGGUGCAAGCGUUACUCGGAAUUACUGGGCGUAAAGCGUUCGUAGGUGGUUUGUUAAGUCUGAUGUGAAAGCCCUGGGCUCAACCUGGGAAUUGCAUUGGAUACUGGCAGGCUAGAGUGCGGUAGAGGAUGGCGGAAUUCCCGGUGUAGCAGUGAAAUGCGUAGAGAUCGGGAGGAACAUCUGUGGCGAAGGCGGCCAUCUGGACCAGCACUGACACUGAGGCACGAAAGCGUGGGGAGCAAACAGG